UAGGGAAUCUUCCACAAUGGGCGCAAGCCCGAUGGAGCAACACCGCGUGAGUGAAGAAGGGUUUCGGCUCGUAAAGCUCUGUUGUUAAAGAAGAACACGUAUGAGAGUAACUGUUCAUACGUUGACGGUAUUUAACCAGAAAGUCACGGCUAACUACGUGCCAG
rnacentral:rRNA from 1 species